GAUGAACGCCGGCGGCGUGCCUAAUACAUGCAAGUCGAGCGAAUGGAUUAAGAGCUUGCUCUUAUGAAGUUAGCGGCGGACGGGUGAGUAACACGUGGGUAACCUGCCCAUAAGACUGGGAUAACUCCGGGAAACCGGGGCUAAUACCGGAUAACAUUUUGAACCGCAUGGUUCGAAAUUGAAAGGCGGCUUCGGCUGUCACUUAUGGAUGGACCCGCGUCGCAUUAGCUAGUUGGUGAGGUAACGGCUCACCAGGGCAACGAUGCGUAGCCGACCUGAGAGGUUGAUCGGCAACACUGGGACUGAGACACGGCACAGACUCCUACGGGAGGCAGCAGUAGGGAAUCUUCCGCAAUGGACGAAAGUCUGACGGAGCAACGCCGCGUGAGUGAUGAAGGCUUUCGGGUCGUAAAACUCUGUUGUUAGGGAAGAACAAGUGCUAGUUGAAUAAGCUGACACCUUGACGGUACCUAACCAGAAAGCCACGGCUAACUACGUGCCAGCCGCCGCCGUAA
rnacentral:rRNA from 1 species